AUCCUGGCUCAGGAUGAACGCUAGCUACAGGCUUAACACAUGCAAGUCGAGGGGAAACGACAUCGAAAGCUUGCUUUUGAUGGGCGUCGACCGGCGCACGGGUGAGUAACGCGUAUCCAACCUGCCCAUCACUUGGGGAUAACCUUGCGAAAGUAAGACUAAUACCCAAUGACGUCUCUAGAAGACAUCUGAAGGAGAUUAAAGAUUUAUCGGUGAUGGAUGGGGAUGCGUCUGAUUAGCUUGUUGGCGGGGUAACGGCCCACCAAGGCGACGAUCAGUAGGAGUUCUGAGAGGAAGGUCCCCCACAUUGGAACUGAGACACGGUCCAAACUCCUACGGGAGGCAGCAGUGAGGAAUAUUGGUCAAUGGACGAGAGUCUGAACCAGCCAAGUAGCGUGCAGGAAGACGGCCCUAUGGGUUGUAAACUGCUUUUAUAAGGGAAUAAAGUGAGUCUCGUGAGACUUUUUGCAUGUACCUUAUGAAUAAGGACCGGCUAAUUCCGUG
rnacentral:rRNA from 1 species